rnacentral:rRNA from 1 species
GACGAACGCUGGCGGCGUGCCUAAUACAUGCAAGUCGAGCGGACCACUUCGGUGGUCAGCGGCGGACGGGUGAGUAACACGUGGGCAACCUGCCUGUAAGACUGGGAUAACACCGGGAAACCGGUGCUAAUACCGGAUAAUCCUUCUCUUCUCAUGAAGAGAAGCUGAAAGACGGUUUCGGCUGUCCCUUACAGAUGGGCCCGCGGCGCAUUAGCUAGUUGGUGAGGUAACGGCUCACCAAGGCAACGAUGCGUAGCCGACCUGAGAGGGUGAUCGGCCACACUGGGACUGAGACACGGCCCAGACUCCUACGGGAGGCAGCAGUAGGGAAUCUUCCGCAAUGGACGAAAGUCUGACGGAGCAACGCCGCGUGAGCGAUGAAGGCCUUCGGGUCGUAAAGCUCUGUUGUCAGGGAAGAACAAGUACCGGAGUAACUGCCGGUACCUUGACGGUACCUGACCAGAAAGCCACGGCUAACUACGUGCCAGCCGCCGCCGUAA